AACGAACGCUGGCGGCAUGCCUAACACAUGCAAGUCGAACGGGAUCCUAGCUUGCUAGGUGAGAGUGGCGGACGGGUGAGUAACACGUGGGAAUCUGCCUUUUGGUUCGGGAUAACCGCGGGAAACUGCGGCUAAUACCGAAUGCCCUCGAGAGAGGAAAGAUUUAUCGCCAGAAGAGGAGCCCGCGUCCGAUUAGGUAGUUGGUGGGGUAAAGGCCUACCAAGCCGACGAUCGGUAGCUGGUCUGAGAGGAUGAUCAGCCACACUGGACUGAGAUACGGCCCAGACUCCUACGGGAGCAGCAGUGGGGAAUAUUGGACAAUGGGGGCAACCCUGAUCCAGCAAUGCCGCGUGAGUGAUGAA
rnacentral:rRNA from 1 species